GCGGAAGUUGCAGUGAGCCGAGAUUGCGCUACUGCAUUCCAGCCCGAGUGACAGAGCGAGACUCCAUCUUAACAACAACAACAAGACAAACGCACAAGAUUUGGGGACUCAGCCAGGCCGGGGUUUGGUUCUUGGUUCUGUCACUUGCUAGCUCAGUGGCUUUUGGCAAGUCAGUUUAUCUGCAGCUUCGUUGCUACCUCUACAUUAUGGAGAUGAAAGUGUCCACCUCCAAGUGUGGUUUUGAAGAUUCAAUGAGAUAAUGUGAAUAAAGUGUGUAGCGAAGUGUUUGGCACAAAGCUAAUAUUGAGUCAUUUAUUAUUACCACGGACAUUAAUAAUCAGAGGAAAAUAAGUUUUAAAGGUAAAACUUCUUUUGCGAGAAACCCUCAUGGACACAGGCAGCGGAGUGGCGAAGCGAUCCCUGAGGUCAGGUUCUGAGUUCAGAACCAGGGCAAAGCACAGAGCAAGCGGCACUCAAGUCUUCCCAGUGAAGAUGCUUUUGGUUGCAAGGAGCAGAAACUCUCUCACUGAGCUGGAGUCCUGAAUUCGUUAUGAUAUCAGGUGUCAGGGAAACCAGGCUGCUUUAGGCCAUGCAGCUGUGGUAAGUGUCCUAGGGUCACUCAUGGCCACCCUCUAUAGAAGCUCCCUGUGGGCUGUGAGUAAAAGUGAUGUCCAGAGAAAGGGCUGUGCGUUGAUGCCCCCAAAGGGCAUUCCCUGAAUUUUAUUUGGUUUCCUGACAUUUGCCACAGGACCACAGUUGGUGACAGAUUCCCAGGAUGCUGGCUAGGAUCGGACCCAGGCGGCACUUCUGGAUUCCUAGUUUUUGCUGGAGAGGGGUCGACUGCCAGAUUAACAGGCUGUCUGGCAAAUGGCGGCCUUCGGCAGCACUUAGGUCCGAAAACACAAAGGUUGGCCUAAGAAAACCAUAAUUAACUACACACACACACACACACACACACACACACACACACACACACACACUCACUAGAAAUAAAAGACUAGUGUCUCUUUUAAUUGUCAUUUUUAUAGCUCCCCACCGCAGCUGCCCCCCACCCUUC
rnacentral:lncRNA from 10 species